GGAACAAGUUAGGGAACCACUGAUCCAGAACAAGUACAGCACAGACAGUGGCAGUGCAAGCUUUCCUACCCUACUCCGGCACGCUUCAACCUUAUUCUGAAAGGAAUCACUACUAUGGGUAAACAGAUAGACUGGUCUUCAUGCCCAUUUAAUCCUUCACCUGC
ensembl:misc_RNA